CUUACUUUAUUUCUCUACUUUAUUCAUCUUGUAUAAUUCUCCUCUUCAUUCAGAAAUUAAUGUAUUUUCUUAUGAAAUCCCAAUUGCAGGAGCACUAUUGUGUUACCUAUGCAAUCAACGAUCCUAUGGUAUGCUUAUUUCUCUGCUUCACUAAAUUAACUAAUUCAUUCCGGACUUCCAGGAGUAUUUAUUUCACUUAUCGCGUCCAUCUUUAAUUUGAUCUAUUUCAGGGUAUGUUCAAGGAAUUUGGUUUCCCCAAUACACAGCCUAUGACAGACAUCUCCAUUGCAACACCCACAUAAAAAGAGGACCUGAUCUAGACGGUCAUUUUUCUUCAAUCUCUGAUGCUAAACCAAAAUAUGAAUGGAGGCUUGUUCCUAGUUGUCAACUUGGCAGGGCCAGAAGGUUUUUCUGUACUGAAAAGGUCUCAACCAGUUCUGGGUCCUAGUUAUGUAUAUUAAGGGAUGGUCAUUUGUGUGAAGGGGAAGAUCCUCUGCAGAUAUUUUUUAUUUAUUUUGUUUUAUGUUGGACUGAAAUGAGCUUGAAUGGACUUACAUAGGCGAUAAGAGUUCAUAUAGCUGAUCCUAACUUGCUUUGGAUUGAGUUGCAGUUAGUGUUAGUUUAUGAAGGGGAAGAUACUCUUUGCUAGCUGUUUGGCAAAGAAAAACGUGGUAGGGCCCUUUCAG
rnacentral:lncRNA from 1 species